rfam:Schistosoma curassoni strain Dakar, Senegal genome assembly, scaffold: SCTD_scaffold0000593
ACCUUGCUGAUGAGUGCCAACUAGCACGAAACCCGUGUCCAGGGU